GAUGAACGCUGGCGGCGUGCCUAAUACAUGCAAGUCGAACGGGGAGUAGCAAUACUCUUAGUGGCGAACGGGUGAGUAACGCGUUGGUACCUGCCCCGAAGCGGGGGAUAACGGACCGAAAGGUCCGCUAAUACCCCAUGUGCUCGGUAACGAGUAAAGGUGAAAACCACUUUGGGAGGGGCCUGCGUCCCAUCAGCUAGUUGGUAAGGUAACGGCUUACCAAGGCGAUGACGGGUAGGGGACCUGAGAGGGUGGCCCCCCACAAUGGAACUGAAACACGGUCCAUACCCCUACGGGUAGCAGCAGUAGGGAAUAUUGGUAAUGGGCGCAAGCCUGAACCAGCAACGCCGCGUGUGCGAUGACGGCCUUCGGGUUGUAAAGCACUUUUGACUGGGACGAGGAAGGACGGUACCGGUCGAAUCAGCCUCGGCUAACUACGUG
rnacentral:rRNA from 1 species